ACUUGAUGAAGGGUACAAGAACUGGUUUAUUCAGCCAAAUGUAUAGGGUCUCUAUUCAGAAAUCCUUAAGCCCACUCAGGCAUCUAUUUCUGAAAAAUAAUCGAGAUUAUAACCGGUAAACUAAUUAUCUCCUGGAUAAAAGUGCAACAUCAAUACCCAAAACAUCCAUUAUACAUGAAGUUAUCCCCACAUGUCAUAUGUCACUUUAGAUAUAAAGUGGCAAAAUAGCACUCAGAUCCAUGAAGAAUUGGCCAAACGCCACACAGUCAGAGUUUCGCCCUACCACUAUCACAACCUUGGCCGAAGAGGGUAAAUCCUUUGCAUUUUACCGGGCGAAAUAUCGCCUCAUGAAACAGGAGCCCCCUGGUGCUUCCAGGGGGCGAUUAAAUCAUGGGGAUAGUAGCUUCCAUCC